AGAACUGAGCUGUGCUUCAUGUUACUCUGGGAAAUCGUUCCAAUGUGCCAAUAGUUGUAGAUGGGAAGGAUGUUGUUCCAGAAGUAAACAAAGUGUUGGACAAAAUGAAGCGCUUCUGCCAGCGAGUCCGUAGCAGUGAAUGGAAAGGCUACCCUGGAAAGGCAAUCACUGAUGUGGUCAAUAUUGGUAUUGGUGGCUCUGACUUGGACCCUCUGACAGUAACUGAAGCUCUGAAACCAUAUUCCAAGG